rnacentral:rRNA from 2 species
GUGCAAUGGCAUAAGCCAGCUUGACUGCGAGCGUGACGGCGCGAGCAGGUGCGAAAGCAGGUCAUAGUGAUCCGGUGGUUCUGAAUGGAAGGGCCAUCGCUCAACGGAUAAAAGGUACUCCGGGGAUAACAGGCUGAUACCGCCCAAGAGUUCAUAUCGACGGCGGUGUUUGGCACCUCGAUGUCGGCUCAUCACAUCCUGGGGCUGAAGUAGGUCCCAAGGGUAUGGCUGUUCGCCAUUUAAAGUGGUACGCGAGCUGGGUUUAGAACGUCGUGAGACAGUUCGGUCCCUAUCUGCCGUGGGCGCUGGAGAACUGAGGGGGGCUGCUCCUAGUACGAGAGGACCGGAGUGGACGCAUCACUGGUGUUCGGGUUGUCAUGCCAAUGGCACUGCCCGGUAGCUAAAUGCGGAAGAGAUAAGUGCUGAAAGCAUCUAAGCACGAAACUUGCCCCGAGAUGAGUUCUCCCUGAGACUUAGAGUCUCCUGAAGGAACGUUG